rnacentral:rRNA from 1 species
UACGUAGGGGGCAAGCGUUGUCCGGAUUUACUGGGCGUAAAGAGCGUGUAGGCGGCCACGCAGGUCCGUUGUGAAAACUGGAGGCUCAACCUUCAGACGUCGACGGAAACCGUAUGGCUAGAGUCCGGAAGAGGAGAGUGGAAUUCCUGGUGUAGCGGUGAAAUGCGCAGAUAUCAGGAAGAACACCAAUGGCGAAGGCGGGUCUCUGGGCAGUAACUGACGCUGAGGAGCGAAAGCGUGGGGAGCGAACAGG